rnacentral:rRNA from 1 species
AUUGAACGCUGGCGGCAGGCUUAACACAUGCAAGUCGAGCGGGGAAGGGUAGCUUGCUACCUAACCUAGCGGCGGACGGGUGAGUAAUGCUUAGGAAUCUGCCAUUUAGUGGGGGACAACAUUCCGAAAGGAAUGCUAAUACCGCAUACGUCCUACGGGAGAAAGCAGGGGAUCUUCGGACCUUGCGCCAAAUGAUGAGCCUAAGUCGGAUUAGCUAGUUGGUGGGGUAAAGGCCUACCAAGGCGACGAUCUGUAGCGGGUCUGAGAGGAUGGUCCGCAACACUGGUACUGAGACACGGCCCAGACUCCUACGGGAGGCAGCAGUGGGGAAUAUUGGACAAUGGGCGGAAACCUGAUCCAGCCAUGCCGCGUGUGUGAAGAAGGCCUUAUGGUUGUAAAGCACUUUAAGCGAGGAGGAGGCUACUUAGAUUAAUACUCUAGGAUAGUGGACGUUACUCGCAGAAUAAGCACCGGCUAACUCUGUGCCAGCCGCCGCGGUAA